rnacentral:rRNA from 1 species
AUUGAACGCUGGCGGCAUGCCUAACACAUGCAAGUCGAGCGAGCGGCGGACGGGUGAGUAAUGUAUAGGGACCGCCCGCAAGAGGGGGGUAAACACUGGCAACGGUAGCUAAUAUCGCAUACUAUCGGAUGACCCAUAUGGGAUUAGCUAGUAGGUGGGGUAAUGGCUCACCAAGGCGACGAUCCCUAGCUGGUCUGAGAGGAUGAUCAGCCACACUGGGACUGAGACACGGCCCAGACUCCUACGGAGGCAGCAGUGGGGAAUAUUGCACAAUGGGGGAAAGCCUGAUGCAGCCAUCCCGCGUGUAUGAAGAAGGCCCUAGGGUUGUAAAGUACUUUCAGUCGGGAGGCGGUACCGACAGAAGAAGCACCGGCUAACUACGUGCCAGCAGCCGCGGUAAUAC